UUCCCAGACCAGACCACAUGACAUGAAAUUUAAGCUGGAAACUUCCUCUGUCACCACGUGCUUGGCAGAGCUGCAGCCCCACUGCACCCAUCAGAGGCCAGUCCUGGAGCAGAAGGAAGGCUGCAGCUCCUGCUGUCACCCAUCGUGUUGAGCAGGGCAAGGAGCCCUCUGCAGGAAGCGCAGCUGAAUUUCACAAAUCUUCCCUUUCUGACGUCUCCCGAAUUUCUAGGAAUGCCCCUUCCCUGUUACUAUAUUUGGAGGUAGUUUCUAGGAAAAAAAAUAAUUUUCGGACGGUCUGGGACUCACCACACCUACUCUCGGAAGACUCUCAGCCCCAGGUCUCCUGGCACGGCCCCCGCAGAGUUGAGGAGCCCACGGCUCGGGCUCAGCAACUCACGGCGCAAGACUCACGGCUUUGUAGCACUGUUGGAGGAAUGAGCAUGGAGAGGGAGUGGAAAGACGAGAGGUGUCUUUGUGGCAACAAUGAGUGAAUCUUCUCUAGUUUAAUCCUGGUGGCUGCUCUUUUUCUUUCCUUUUUUUUUUUUUUUUCCCUUUGUUUUUUUAAUUUUCUUUUUUCCUUUCGCUGCACUUUUUUUUUUCCUUCCUUUUUGAAGGAAGAGGAUCUUAAGAAAAAAGACCUCCUGGAUAUUUUUUUUCCCUUCGCUUCCCCCUCUCCCCCUCCCCUUGAUGUGGCCUCUUGUUUAGCUUGUGGCGUGACCGUGAUGAAGAAAUGUUUCUGGGCGCCUGGCAGGGUGAUCUUUUUAUGUAAUGAGUCAGGAUUUUGCCAACAGAAGAAGCCGGCUUGGAGCGAGGACCGAAGGGCUGUCUCCUUUCAUGACCGGGAAACUGCCAGGCUAGCGGCUCCCUCUUCUCGGGAUCCCCGCUCGCGUCGGGCGUUUAUCGAUUCACGGCUUGCGGGGGCACGGCCGUGGGGGGCUGACAAGUGGUCUAUAAUAUAAAAACUUAAUCAACAUACUCUACACUGACAUGUACAUAUGAAUUCAGGUCAAGAAGAUUAAGGAGCUUGUGAUUUCCACUGGUGAGGGCAACCACAGAAACUUG